GACAGAGGGUGCAAACGUUGCUCGGAAUCAUUGGGCGUAAAGCGCACGUAGGCGGCCUGUUAAGUCGGAUGUGAAAUCCCUGGGCUCAACCCAGGAAGUGCAUUCGAAACUGGCGGGCUUGAAUAUGGAAGAGGGUCGCGGAAUUCCCGGUGUAGAGGUGAAAUUCGUAGAUAUCGUGAGGAACACCGGUGGCGAAGGCGGCGACCUGGGCCAAUAUUGACGCUGAGGUGCUAAAGCGUGGGGAGCAAACAG
rnacentral:rRNA from 1 species